rnacentral:rRNA from 1 species
UACACUCCUACGGGAGGCAGCAGUGGGGAAUAUUGGACAAUGGGCGCAAGCCUGAUCCAGCCAUGCCGCGUGAGUGAUGAAGGCCCUAGGGUUGUAAAGCUCUUUCACCGGUGAAGAUAAUGACGGUAACCGGAGAAGAAGCCCCGGCUAACUUCGUGCCAGCAGCCGCGGUAAUACGAAGGGGGCUAGCGUUGUUCGGAUUUACUGGGCGUAAAGCGCACGUAGGCGGACUAUUAAGUCAGGGGUGAAAUCCCGGGGCUCAACCCCGGAACUGCCUUUGAUACUGGUAGUCUUGAGUUCGAGAGAGGUGAGUGGAAUUCCGAGUGUAGAGGUGAAAUUCGUAGAUAUUCGGAGGAACACCAGUGGCGAAGGCGGCUCACUGGCUCGAUACUGACGCUGAGGUGCGAAAGCGUGGGGAGCAAACAGGAUUAGAUACCCCUGUAGUCCCAU